CCGCGGAAAUGUAACGGCUGCAAGCUGCAGUCAGUUACAUCUAGAUGGAGAGAGCUUUUUGGAUUUGAAGUAAAACAAACAGAGGUGCGACAUACAGCGGAGAACUGCAGAAGAAUUACUCCACGUGUCAAACAGAAGGGGACGAGAACACCAGACCAAUGUUUUUGCAUGCGCAUGCCAUUUGGCUUGGUAAGCUGAUCAGAGACGUCUGCUCCAAGCUGCUAAGUGUGCAGAGCUGUCUCCAGUUGUGUGGUGGUGCGUUCAUGUGCUCAGAGGUAAACCCACCUAUCUAUUGAUGAAGAACAGCUUUUUUAAGCUGCCAUUCUUAAUCUGAUUACAUUACUGUUUGUCGGCCAAAUGUCUGUAUCACAAUAGCGUUGAAUGCCCCACACGCAGACAGGAAGCAAGCGGCCCUUUCUCUCCAUCUCACACAAGGACCAACAUCGUUUAACAAAGAACUCUCAAUAUGGUGUCACCUCCAUAACCUUGGCCAGAAAAUAGUGAAUCAGGUGGAUAAAGAUUGCGUCCUCCGUGAUGUUUCUCCCAGAGUGCCGUGCACACACAGCAUUUCUAAAUUGGCAAGAGUAAAUGUUGAGGCCUGGAUGAUUUGUACAGGCCUGGGAAAAACAUCCUCCCAGCCAGCCAUGUCAAACAAGAGGAACGUACGUCUGACUUGAUCCCAGUAUGACUAAUUGGUAGAUAUUGUUGGUGCUCAGUCUGCUUAAUGGGGGAAGUGUCACUAUCUGGAUGUGCAGCACCCAUUGACUUAUUCCAAAUGAUACAGACGUCGGGAUCACAAUCAGUGAGUUUCAAAAUAGGGAUUAAGGAUUUUUUUUUCAGCUUUCAAUGUCAAAGGCCUUUGACUCCCAGGGCUGCGAUCAGAUGCAAAUAGGCAUGUUCGCAGGUAUUUCUCAUGUCAAACACUCUCUCACUGAUAUGAGUGUUUGAGAUGAAGGAUACAGGAGCUGUGCUUUCGUGCACCUUCAUUGAUUGUAGGCCUACAUUGAUUUGACUUCAAAUCAAAGACGUUAUUUCACAAAUUCAGAGCGUAAGUAUUUUUUAUUUAGAAGUUCAUUUAACAUGCCACAGUCCUGUUAGCAUGUAGACCAACAUGCUUCAGUUAAAUAUAAUGUUCAAUCAUCAAGGAUCAUUCUAAAAAUAAGAAUAGUCUCAUACUGUGAAACCUUGAUAACCCUUGGUACAGUUGUAGAAAGGACUGUGCUUUACAGCUGGAGGUCAGCCCAGUUAUACCGAUGCAUGCUGAUCCAUGGCAUGAAUGCAAGUCUGAAGGUUAAUUGCUACCAGAUGUUCAUCCCCACUAGUUUGUUAAUAAGAGUAAAAUCACUAGUCUCCUGCAGCGUGCCUAAGGCUGGCGCAUGCUUCUGCGUCUUUGCGCGCAGUCCUGUCGAUGCGCUCGAUUAAUUUCAUGGUUCAAAAGGGCUUGCGUGUGUUGCAGAGCAAUUCCCCGCCAGAACACCAGGUGGAGUAACGUUUUUUCUCAAAGACGACCUAGAGAGUGACGUCUUUGUGUGUGGAAGUCGUUGGUUUGUUUAUUUAUUUAUCGUAGGCCUUAUUGCCCCGUGCAUCGCCACUGCUGCUUUUUAGCGCCUUUAUCGAGACAUUUGUCCCGUGUUUUCCUCCACAACUUUGUGUUCCCCUCGACCGGCAAACUGACGUUUGCAGAGAUCUCCCUCCAUGAAUCGGAGGCCAUUCGCGCCUCCUUAUAGUCCGCCAAUGACGGGUUGUAAAAGUGCUCAUAUUUACUGAUUUUUUCUGACAAAAGCUCUUCAAUCUGAUCUCUCGUAAGUUCUCUCGUGAAAAAUCUUCGUAUUAAUAAUGGCGGUAUUGUGCUAUUAAACCGGAAGAGUGAGACUCCGUAAAGGAUGUAGUUAGCAGACCAAUCGCAGCCUUGCGGGCUGCAGGAGGCUUGCGUAGCUUUUGACGCUAGUCUAGAAAAAUGGGUUGACGCACGCAAGCACGCAAGGAGGUGUGAAAAGGCACGCAAGGAACACGCAAGGGGGUCUUGCGUCUGUGUGUCCUUGCAUCUUUCUGAAAACGCAGAAGCAUAAACUACGCUUUAAGCUUUAGUAAGCUCUCGUUUAUAGAGCCUGAAAGUUAGUACAUUGCUCUCUGGUGAUACAUAUUCUAUGGUUAAUCUUUGGUUGGAGACUGAUCCACUCAUCAGCUUAGAUUCAUUGUGAUUCUAGAUAAUAAUGUAAUGUAUUCCAUCAGACUACAGUACAUCCAAAUGAGGACCUCAGUGUUCUGAAGAUGGAAAUUCGACUCAUCUUGUUGUAAUUCUAAUACCGCUUUGAACCAGAGGCCUCCAUCAUAACAUGAUCUGAAAAUGGAAGGGUGUUAUAAAGGACCCUGGGCAGUCAAUGUGGUUUGCACCAGCCAACCUAUUAGCUCUAUCUUUGGCGAGUGUGCCACCACUGGCGUAAGUCCCGAUAGCAGUGAUUGAUGAUGCUCUAAGUUCAUUCUGAUUUUGGCUUACAAAAAUAGCUGAGCAGUGUAGCUUCAACCAUUUGAAACAGGGAAACAUACUGCAUAUGGAAGUUUAGCACAGUUUGAAAAUCAGAUCAGUUCUGUCAACAGAUUCUAUAUCCAGUUGUGCAUGAAAGAACAGGAAAAACAGCCAAAUACUUUGCUACGGUAUCCUGAACAUGAAGUGUAUCUUGUAUGCUUUAUAUAUUCUUAGUUUAAUCCAACACUGCAUUUUCAGAUGUCCUAUUAAAUGUCAGCUGUCACUUAAUGUUGCAUUUCCAAAACGACAGAAUUGUGUGUGCAAGGUUGUGUUAUCUGUGUUGCUCUGCUGGAAACUCUCACAGCUCUGCAGCACCACUAAAUCUUUGAUUGGACACUCUUUCCGGUUAAAAACAGUGAUAAACUGCUUCUGGGAUUCCUAAAGUGGGGGAAAAGUUCACCACCAGAGUUUUAGGCCAAUAUGGUAUACUUUUCUAGAUUUGGAUACACAGCUAGAGCUCACAUUACUCUGCAUGAUAGAGGGGAGUUGAGGAGCUGCAUCAUUAUCCCCAAAACCGACAGGCCCACCUGUACGUACGGGAUUAACUAGACACCCAUGAAGCACAAUGAGUUCGGGGCAUUCAGAAUAAGUGGCUUUAUUGACAAAAGUAUUUUAUCCAAGGACAUUUAACAAAUUUACAUUCAAAUAAAACUGAUACCUUUUAAGUUGAUGACCCUGCUGCCUUUGUAUUAGUCACCUGACAAAACUAACCUCUAGCACUUCAUUGAGUGAGCAGGGAAAACGACAUGCUGUAAACAGGGUUUGGGGAAUUAACUCUCCUUUAUGUGGGAAGGUAAAAGACAGGAUGGACAAGAGAACCAAUUACUUAUGAGUUGUGCAUGAACAAAGGCAGAUAAAUAUUCAGUUAUAAUCCACCAGUCUAUAAUCAAGAUGACAAAAACACAAUUUGAAGUAGGAGGUGGAGGUUGAAGGGAAGAGAAAACAUACAUAUAAAUCAAGACAUGUGAAUCCUAGGACAUCAGCGGCUUUGCGUGUGUUUGUUAAUACUUGAUUUGUAAUAUUGUCCUGGGAUUUCAUUGGAUUCUUCGGCCUUAAGUCAAGAUAUCAUUUUAAGAGAUAAGACGUGCUUCCAGUCUUUGGUGAUAACGAAUGCAUUCCGUAAAAGGAAUGUUUGUUUAGAGUUGUUUUUUCCUGUCUUGUCAAGAGUUAAAUGGAAAGAUUACUCCCACUAUAGCCCCACUAGCUACUAUAGGCUGCAUAUAAAGCCAGUCUUUUGGUUAGCUUACAUGAGCAGCUCACUUAAAGCCUAACCUUCCUUCUUUUUGGGGAAAAAUGCGAGGAAAGAUUUGCUCUUUUCUGCCCGCUGUGAGUCACUCAGCAAUGACAGCCAGACUCCCAACCCACAUAAACAAAUCGUUUUACAUACCUGCAUUUACUUUGACAAUCAUGUACUUUAACACAUUAUGUUUUCCUUUUGUAGAUCUUCACAGGGCUAUGCUUCACAUUAUAUGGGGCUAGAUAUUGAAAACAUUUGGGGGUUAAGCCAAGCAAUAUGAACCGAAGACGCCGCUGUUGGUGGAAAAGGAACCUCUACUGAAAAUUAGCAUAUUCAACCGCAGAGGGCCAAGUUGGGGCCAAAAAAAAUUGUAUAAUUCUGGAGGUAAUCCAUCCAGUCCUCAAGUUCUGUCUUUGUUCAUUGAUUUAAUGGGUUUUCUUAGCUCUUUUUAGAGUGAUGGCCGCCUCUAGAGAACAGAGGGCCUCUGGAGGGUGCUUAGGUAAGUGUAAUGGAUUCUAAAAAUUCACUACAGUCUCAUUAUGAACAACUUCCAACUUUGGAUAGUUGAAAAGUGAUAUUAAUCAGAUCUUUAUCAGAUCAGAAGUUAAGUUACUUCUUUUGUCCUAAUUGCUGAGAUGUUCACAAAACGAUCAUUCAUUCUCAAUUCAAGAGCAAGCAGGCAGCUGGUCUAGAAGUGAUUCAUAUAAUGGUUCUGCUGUAGUGCAAUUAAUAAUGAAUGCUGCUAGCUGUCCCGACAGACUUUCAACUCGAUAUAUAGCUAAUUUGCUUGUGAAUGUGUUCAGAUGAAAUGUUUUUAAGUAUGCUUUGUUCUGCCUGUCAGUUCUUAGCUACUAACAACAACAACACCAUUUCUUAACUUUAUCACAAUUUAUGCAAGUGAUAUGUAUCAUUACAAAUCAUUACAGACUCAACUGUCGUCAAAUAGCGCACUAUGCAGAUUCUGCAUCAUAUUUAGCCUUAAGGUCAUGCCUGUAAAGGUCAUUCUGAAGUUAGGAGAUGCUAAAACUCACAGCCCUUGAGGAGGUACAUAAGACAGCCCAAUAAUCAUUCAGUAUCAAUGCAACGGAUUUCACUUCAUGUUUUGCAGACAAAAAUCAGUAAAAAAAGUAUUUCAUCGGAAAAAAAGAUCAUUCCCUUGUAGAAAGAUUCAUCAUAAAUCUUUAUGGAAUCAGAUCUCAAGCUUAUUUCUGUAAUGCAUAAGAAGCCACUGGUUGAUCUCUGCUCCCUGUUGCCCCUGUGGGAUCGAUAUCAUGGAGCCUUGCAGCAUUGAAAUCCCCUCCAAUCAAAAGUUGAUCAUCUGGAAGAUUGUGGAAGCCAGUGAAUCUCACUUGCUGAAAGAAUUUGGAGCAUCGGCACAAUUAUAAGCAUUUUCAAUGUCAUUGUAAGCUAAUUUAUAAAAUAUUUACCUAUCACCUCCACCCAAACAAGUUUUGUGUCCAUGAAAUUUCUUCUUUAAGUACACUUCGGAGUGGCCUAUACAUUCCUGAGAGGAGUGUAUAGGCCAGGAGGAGUUCUAUGAUAAAACAUUAUUCAUAACAGGUAUGACAUAGUAUGCAGUAUGACCAACUUAUCAUGAUUUUAUCCAACUCGUGCAGUGUAGUUAUUACAAGGUAAAUCAUUCACAUGUGGUCUAACUAAUGACAGCACAGUUCAGAGGAAUCUUCAGCAAACCAGCCGAGCUCAGCUGGUAUAUUGCUAAAUAUAUCAGUAAAUUCCUGUGAUUUAGUCACUACAAGGAAAUUGGUAACAUUGUGCGAGCAAGCAAAUUGAAACAAAUGAAACUGCUUUAAUGAGUAAAGGGCCUGUUCUGUUUAUAAAUGGUAGCGAGGGUGAUGCAAGAAGUUAAUAAGAAAGGCUCAAGGAUAAAACCAGGAUAUUAAUUCAUCUUUAAAUAUUGCCCCACUUCUUCCAGGGGUGAAGAACUGUACAUUGAUGAAGAGGUAUUUUCUUAUUAUUGUCCGAGAUUUAUCCUGAGCUAUUUGGCCGAGGCAAAGCAAGAGGAGCUCAUCCUCUGAAUGCCAAACAAAAGGUUAAAAUGAGGAUAGAUAACCAAUUAAGGAGAUAGAGAGAGAGAGUGAAAGUCUCUAAAGAGGGUUUAGUGGGGCACCCAGGGUUCCUUCUCCGAACUGCAAGUAAUGUGGUGGAUAUGGUCCAAGACAUGCUCAUAGAUGUUUCUUUGGACCCCUGGUGGCACAAGCAAUCCCUUGAUAAGGGAGAUUAGGUUUCUUUGGAGAAUUGAAUAUCAGACUCGCUUCUUGUUUGCUUUUGUGUUUAUCCUCCUCCUUUUCUCCCUCCUUCUUUCCUUUUAUAUCUUUCUGAUUCACGAGUUGACUCCUACGAAAAAACUGAGUCUGGGGGGGAAACAGAGCUUCUUUCGGUCGGCCCCAAAUUAGAUGUGCAUGAAGCUGUUUUAAUGGGGUUGAAUCAUACUGCAAUAUAGAUCUUCAUCCUCUAUUGUCUGUUUCUGUGCAACAGAGGCAAUAUACAAGAGAUACUACAUGGGCAUGCAUAUUUUUUCUUUUUCAAAAUGUUUUUAUGUCUACUGUGAAACUGACAGCUGUGGAAUGAUCAUUCAGUCCUAAGAGACCGAAUGAAAAAAGGAGACUUCAUUUGUGGUUAGACUUUACCUUCUCAAGCUUGUGACCCCAAUCUUAAUCACCAGAAUAUGGAAAAUACAUCAGUGGUACCGGUGGUCAGGUGUGAGUCCUCAUUAUCUCAUUACAUUUUUACUCACCUUAGACGGCAUCACCGGUUCCAUUUCUUGCUGUAUUGAUAAUGACAGUAUCCAGGUAGGGAUGUGAAUCUUGAUUUCUCUCCCAAUUUGAUCGCGUUUCACCGAUUGUAUGUUGUUUUUAGUAUCAAUCACUGUACAUACACAAAAACAACUUACCUAAUCCUGGUUGUACCAGGAGUAGGUACAACAAUAUUGACCUAAACUAUUUUUAGAAUAUUAACCAAUUGCUGGAGUUUCAAAUAGUUUCAAGGCAUUAUUGAAUUUUAGCUUAAAAUGCCAAAAUAUUCAAUAUCAUGUGAUGAAAAAGGGCAUUUUACACAGGACUAAGACAAAAUGAAAAAACAGCUGACUAAAUUAAGAAAGAAAAGCUGAAAUGUUUGGUGUUGUUGAGUAAAACAUCACUCACUUUGAUCCUUUUUAUAUUUUAUAGCAGAGAAUGUAAAAAGUGACGAACAUUUAUUUUUAUGCUGCAAUUUGGCCAAGGCACAUCAUUUAUUUUCUCUUAAAAUGCAUAUACCUUUUAUGUUGUCAGAUAAAUUUACAUUUUGUUGCAGUGAACAGGGAAUGGCAGUCCAAUUCCGGCAUUGACACGGCGAAUGCAAAUUACACAUGACGACAAUGAUGUACCGUAGGUGACAUGUACAGAUAUUAUCUCCCUUCUGUAAAGGACAAAAAUUGCCUGAAGGGAGCACAUGUGAAAAAAAAAUUAGUUGGAUGCAGAAAAUGGAGAGAAAUCAUAGCCGUCUUUGAUAUUGAAGCACUGGGCGUGAAAGUGACGGUAUUUGAGAAUUGCUCAGGCGUCAGGCCGUUCACCUCUAAUGUCAGAGAUGAUUACACACUAAAUGUAGUUAUCUAGUGCCGCUGCUAAUCAUUGUUAAAGAAUCUGCCCAAUUUUUCACCUUGAACUGGUUGUCAUGCGGUCGAUGACCCUCUUACCUUUAAAUCAAGCUGAAAAAAAAUGGUGAUGGCAUGAUACCAUCGGGCAAUCUACUGCGCUCAAGGGCAUUUGGCUUCCAGUCAAGUUUAGUCUUUCACAAAUGAUGUGAGAGUAGCGAACCUCAGGAUAUAAGCAGAAUUAUUGACAGAGAAACUUGAGUAAUUGAGAAUGAGAUCACCGGAAACAUUAGAACGAUCAGAGGGAUGCUGGUCAUUUUCCUGAUUAACGGUAAUUGUUGUAUGUAGUGAAUAUGAAACCUGAGAAAAAAAUCAUUGAAAUUGUCAUUUACAAUAACAGCCUAAAGCCCAAUAAUCUUGGACGACCAGAUCGGACAAAGCAAAGCAGCAAAUCCACCCAAUUGAGCCGCUGGAACCAUCAUGUUUCGUCAUUAUGAUUCAAAACCAAUCAGGGCUGCAAGUAAUGUUUUUCUUUCAUCAUCGAUGAUUCAUUUCUUUCAGUAAAGUGUUCUUCACGAUUUCUAAGAACCCAAAUAUUGCAUCUUUUGUGAAUUUUGCAUGACAGAAAACAAAAAAUGUUUUUCCAAAUAGUUAACACUAAUACAUUUAUUGACCAACUGUUGCAACUUCAUGAACUAUUAAGGCAAUUGAAUUAUCAUAUAUAUUAUAAUGUUUUCCAAUCUAAGUACACUUUUAACAAGGAGUUCUACUAAACCUGUACUAACGUGCACAAUGUUCUCUGUGGCUCUGUAGAAAGUUUGACGACAUUACCUGAUGUCAUCAGUCACAACAACGACGGAUUCCGAGUGUUUUUAGCUGAGCUACAACAGACUUCAGAUUUCCUGGAUGUGAUGUCAUGUAGGCUGGUUGUGUUUUAUGUGCAAUGCAAUGCUUAGUCACUGGAUGACCCCUUUUUUUGUUGAGUAACUAAUUAUAUGGGCUCUGAAGGAUCCGUCUUCGCUGGCUAUGCAAAGAUCAGAAGAAUUAACUUAUUGCGUUCUUCUUUAAAUUUGGUCAGUUGUCCCAUAAAUACUCUUUGUGCUGUCCACGUUUGUAUGUAGAUGAACAUCUGUGGCACACUUGCUUGGGAUCAAACAGUCUGUUGUUGUAUAUUAUGGAUGUGGUUGAAUUGUAACUUACAUUUUGGAAUAGCUUUGUCCCUGAAUGGACGUGGACAUUGUUGAGCAUAUAUGAUAUGAGUCCAAAGCCAUGUCAAAUAGCUAAUGUAAUGACGCCACAUGUAACACGUGUGCCUGCGUGCACCUGGAUGCUGAUGUAAAUAUGCGCAAAAUAAAACCAGUCAGUGCAAGUUCUCAAACCAAGGAGAUGAUGGCGGUCUGUCCUUUUUCUCCCGUGAAUAAUGAUACCUGGACGUAUUAACUGACCACGUUGGCGACUGUACUAACGGUAGACUGCUGCAGGAAUGUCUAACGCUACAGGUUAUGGGCCCAGUCAUGCAGGCCAAAGGUGGUUCAGACUUUUAUUCGACGGUGAUGAGAAAAGUUACGAACUCUGGGAAACAAGGUUCCUCGCGCACAUGGAGUUACGCAGCCUCAGAGAAGCUAUCCUGGAAGACCCACAGAUAGAUGAGGAGGACGAAGGAGCUCUCGUGGAAGAUGAGGCAAAGAAUGGUGAGGCGUAUGCAAAACUAGUGCAAUGUCUAGACAACAAGAGCUUGUCAUUGGUAAUGAGGGACGCGCAACGUGACGGAAAAAAAGCGCUAAAUAUUCCCCGCGAGCACUAUGCGGGAAAGAACAAACCCCGCGUUGUGAGUUUGUAUUGUGAACUUUCCUCGCUCUACAAGGCUAGCAAUGAAACUGUCACUGAAUAUGUUUUUAGAGCCGAGACCAUAUUCACGUCAUUGAGAAGAGCAGACGAGGAUAUUAGUGAUGCACUUCAAAUA
ensembl:lncRNA